GUCGAUUCUUGGCCUUUUGGCUAAGACCAAAUGUAGUAUCUGUUCUUAUCAUUUUAAUAUCUGAUAUGUCCUCUAUGCAAAUGUCAGUAUCUCUAUUUUUGUGUCAAUACCAU
rnacentral:snRNA from 1 species